rnacentral:rRNA from 1 species
AUUGAACGCUGGCGGCAGGCCUAACACAUGCAAGUCGAGCGGAUGAAGGGAGCUUGCUCCUGGAUUCAGCGGCGGACGGGUGAGUAAUGCCUAGGAAUCUGCCUGGUAGUGGGGGAUAACGUCCGGAAACGGGCGCUAAUACCGCAUACGUCCUGAGGGAGAAAGUGGGGGAUCUUCGGACCUCACGCUAUCAGAUGAGCCUAGGUCGGAUUAGCUAGUUGGUGGGGUAAAGGCCUACCAAGGCGACGAUCCGUAACUGGUCUGAGAGGAUGAUCAGUCACAUUGGAACUGAGACACGGUCCAGACUCCUACGGGAGGCAGCAGUGGGGAAUAUUGGACAAUGGGCGAAAGCCUGAUCCGGCCAUGCCGCGUGUGUGAAGAAGGUCUUCGGAUUGUAAAGCACUUUAAGUUGGGAGGAAGGGCAGUAAGUUAAUACCUUGCUGUUUUGACGUUACCAACAGAAUAAGCACCGGCUAACUUCGUG